AGAGUUUUGAUCCUGGCUCACGAUGAACGCUGGCGGCGUGCUUAACACAUGCAAGUCGAACGGGAAUGCCACGCUGAUGCGAUUUCGGUCAAAUCAUGUGGCAUUCGAGUGGCGGACGGGUGAGUAACGCGUGGGUAACCUGCCUUACACAGGGGGAUAACACCUGGAAACAGGUGCUAAUACCGCAUAAGCGCACAGGGCCGCAUGGCCCGGUGUGAAAAACUCCGGUGGUGUAAGAUGGACCCGCGUCUGAUUAGCUUGUUGGCGGGGUAGGGGCCCGCCAAGGCGACGAUCAGUAGCCGGCCUGAGAGGGUGGACGGCCACAUUGGGACCUGAGACACGGCCCAAACUCCUACGGGAGGCAGCAGUGGGGGAUAUUGGACAAUGGGGGAAACCCUGAUCCAGCGACGCCGCGUGAGUGAAGAAGUAUUUCGGUAUGUAAAGCUCUGUCAGCAGGGAAGAAAGAAAUGACGGUACCUGACCAAGAAGCCCCGGCUAACUACGUG
rnacentral:rRNA from 1 species